CGCUCUGGUAGCUCAGUAGUAGAGCACCUGUAUGUGGUGAAUGAAAGCACCUACUAAUAAAUACGAGGAGAUCGCAGGUUCGAAUCCUGCCCUGUGACU
rnacentral:tRNA from 1 species